CUACAGUGGCCCUAAGGUGCAAAACACAACGACAAAUCAGAAAACAUAACAGCGAAAGAGAAAACACAACGGCAAAUAGGAAAACACAAUGGAAAAAGACAAAACACAACGGUGAAUGUCGUUGUGUUUUCUGAUUUCUUGUUGUGUUUUCUCUAUCCGUGUUGUGUUUUCUGAUUUGCUUUUGUGUUUUGCACAUCAGGGCCACCGUAG
rnacentral:miRNA from 1 species